UACGGAGGGGGCCAGCGUUGUUCGGAAUCAUUGGGCGUAAAGGGCGCGUAGGCGGCUUGGUAAGUCCGUUGUGAAAUCCCUCGGCUCAACCCGGGAACUGCGUCCGAUACUGGCAGGCUUGAAUCCGGGAGAGGGAUGUGGAAUUCCAGGUGUAGCGGUGAAAUGCGUAGAUAUCUGGAGGAACACCGGUGGCGAAGGCGGCGUUCUGGACUGCAACUGACACUGAGGAACGAAAGCCAGGGGAGCAAACGGG
rnacentral:rRNA from 1 species